rnacentral:rRNA from 2 species
GACGAACCGAGCGAACGUUGUUCGGAAUCACUGGGCUUAAAGGGCGCGUAGGCGGGCUGUCAAGUCUGGGGUGAAAUCCCACGGCUCAACCGUGGAACUGCCUUAGAUACUGACGGCCUCGAGGGAGAUAGGGGCGAGCGGAACUGUGAGUGGAGCGGUGAAAUGCGUUGAUAUUCACAGGAACUCCGGUGGCGAAGGCGGCUCGCUGGAUCUUUUCUGACGCUGAGGCGCGAAAGCUAGGGGAGCAAACGGG